rnacentral:lncRNA from 1 species
CUGGUCUCCAGAGCGAGUGCCAGGAUAGGCUCCAAAACUACACAGAGAAACUCUGUCUCAAAAAACCAAAAGAGAGAUAGAGAGGUAUGGCAUUUAUGAUUUAAGACACAAAAAAGCUAUGUGAGCUUCCCUCAGUAGUAUCUGGUUCUUUCCCUGCUUACUUCACAUUUGUCCCCAGGGCCUAGCAUUCCCUGCACGGCCUUCAGGGAUUCAUUGACAUUGGGUGAAUUGGCUUAUCUCCUCAGCUUUUCAUCCAUUUGACAUCAGAUGUGCUCAUCCUAAUGAAGAAAAGGUGUGAGUCAUACCCACCCUGCCACCCUCACCAGCUGCCCACCAACUUCCUCUGAGGGUGUUCUGUAGCCUCUGAGGGUGAUGUUAUUAGAUAUUUGUAUUCUGCGUAACGUCUUGGUGGGCACAGUGUUACCCGGAUGUAAAUGCAACACAGUUCUCCCAAGAGUCUUACUGUUCCCCUAACAAUGACAGUGUCUCUUGGGCUUCUGUCUUAAAAUUGUUUGACCAUUGUCAGAUUCGUGCCAUGUCAAUCAUAACAUCAUAAUGUGAGUGGUGUUCAUCUGAGGCUUGACACUGGGAUGAGCUCUGUUGAGUAAUUAAAGAAUUUAUUUUGGAUGUGGGGGAUGCUGGAGCAUGGAAAAAAAAAUCACAGAAAAAAAAAGCCAGCAACAAUACAAGCUCAGUAGGGAAAUUUUAGACAUCAAACAUUUUUUUUUAUACAAAAUACCAAAGGUCACUAGUCUCCCACAUCAAAUACACAGACAUUUUUUUAAACAAAUCCAUUUCAGUCUGAGUCUCAACACAGGCCUAAAAUAUGUGUUUUUGAAAAAAAAAAGAUUCUAGGAUAAUUUUAAUUUUGUUGUUUUCCAAAAAUGAAGGAGGAGAAACUGUUUGAGAUUUAGUUGUGGGGAAUUGUGAACAGUAUUUCAACCUUGCCCAAGAGGUUGACAGUUAGAUACUGAUGCUGAAGUCUAAAUUUUCAGAAUUAUAUUCAUUUUUGAUCAUACCAUGUUACUAGAGGGGCAAGGCAGGCUCCAAGGUGUGGCUUCCUGCCUGUUUUUCAAGGAACCUGCAGCCCCCUUGUACACACAUAAGGCUGCAGCCCCCUUGUACACACAUAAGGCAUUCUACACUUUGCCCAAUAUACAACCUCCACAUUCAUCCUGGCAUUGACUCAACAGGAGGCUGGGGUUUGAUGAACUCAGCAUAGAAAUGAUCCUUCACCCAUAUUACCCCAUCGAAGAAGGCUGAUAGAAACGAAGGCUUUCAGGCUGUUCCCAAAGCCCGUAACUUGUUCUCUUUCACAUCUGCAGCCGUGUCCUCCUCAGGGAGUUGUCCAAUUCAAUGUGAUUUUAAACAUCUGUCAGCUAAAUCAGAGCUCCAAAUUUAGCACUCGGGAACAUUAUGCGGAUGUGCGAUGCUCGCUGGAGAACACUGCAUCCACAAACUCAGCUCACAGGAGACAGCCGGGUGGUACUCCCAUUGAGGCCAGUUUGAUCUGAGUUUCCUGAAAUUCUGUUCUCCAUCCUGAGACAUCUUUCGGGUCUGGCAAAAAAAAAAUGUAACUCUGCUGUAUCCAUCCUAAAGAAGCAUGGUUCUCACUGGCCACCUUUGAUGGGCACUGUAGCAUAGCUCCCUUCUCUCCACUGGAGGGAUGCCCCUGAAGAGCUGCACUGCAGUUCAAGAAGAAGACAACCCCAUGCCUUUGCAGAGGCAAAUGACUGCUCAUUUGGGAGUGUGUAACUAAUUCUAUCAAUUUCUGAAAUCAUGGCAUCUGUAAAGGGAGACACAGGGAGAAAGAGCCUUGUAAAAUAGUAUGGCCAUCGAUAAGUGUCUGAUCACAAUAGACGAACAUGUAUUUGUUGCACUUAGAUUCACACAAAAUCUCCCAGCUUCCAAGAUCCAGUGCUCCACUAAGUCCUCAGACCUAGUUACCACAUGCUUUCAGCUGUGGAAGCAACGCUGUGAGUCUCUGCUCUGAUUUAAUGUGUGAUGCUAUUAGGAAGAAUCUUGUAAUGCUACUGGGUCUCGGAAGCAGCAACUGUGGUGUUUGAUUGGUCCUGUGUAACCAGGAUUAGGCUAGGCCCAGAACAAGGGUCUAAUGAGACUGUAGGGACAGUAAAUCAGUGCAUGAGUGGCAGGCAGACAGGCAUGAAUUUGAACUGUCUCAAGGCAGGGGAAGGUGACGCUGCUGCUGUUGGCCAGAGGAGAUGCCUUACAAAAUCAUCCUGGCAAAACUACACAUGCACUACUCACACAUGGACUUGAACAAGACUCAGUACAGGGUUUCCUUGCUUUUAGAGAAAAGGUGAGCCUCUCAGAGGAGUUAUAACCAAUUAAGAGCUGGGACACAGGGAAGGUGGCUGCAGAGCACUGAGCUGACAAACUUAGUCUCAAAACAUUUUCUUUCUGACAGUCUUGGUGUUUAACACAUACUCUAGGGGAGCCUGAUGGCUCUUCCUUCUCCUCACGCCACUUCUAUGGCAACACACUUACCUUGGGAGGAUACAUUAGGGAAUAGUUAAAACCAGAGACUGUAGCAUCAGACAGAUCAAAAUUCAAGCCCCAGACCACUGAGGCAAAUUAUCCUGGGAAAAUUAGCAAACAUCUGAGCUAGCUCAUUGCAUAUAAGGGAUGCAACUCAAGUAGAAAUAAAGUACCUGACACAUAGCAAAUGUUCAGUGUGACCAAAAUUGUCAUCGUUACUGUAAUUAAUUUGGGUUUGAAUUUUGCAAGUGAUAAAAAUGAAACAGUGCUGGCUUAAGCAAAAUAGUAACAACAUCAAUACAAGUGUGACUUACAGAAAUCACAAGUAGAAAUGUGCACGGGCCUCAGGGACAUCCAGUCACCAUUGUCUUCCAUUGCUCAUCUGCUGUACAAGUCUCCCUGAACUGCAUAUUUGCCUCAUCCCCCUCGGGGUUGAGAAAAAGCCAUCUCCCACCUCCUAACCUGCCAUCCUGCAGCUUCAACUUUCCCAAAAGAGACCAGCCAGAACCUUUUUCCUGUUCUUGAUGUCAUAGACUCCAAUGCAUUCACCUGGCAUGGCUAGAGGCAGGGGUCAAGUGACACUUGUGGUCCCCAGGAAGUAGCAGAUGUGGAGAGUCGCUGGAUUUCUGGGAGAGAAAUUAUGGCCAGAUGUUACAAAAGUACUUUCAAACUAGUAUAAUGGUGGAAGUGCGAUAUUUUUUAAAGUGAGAAGGUGUGAAAAUGUCCUUAGUGAACAAAAUUUCAUAUAUAUCGUGGUCAUGAGCUACACUCAUUUAUAAAGGUAGAGAUUUAUAGGGAACACAGAGAAGUUGGUUUAUGCUGUGGUGGUGAUUUUUUAAUGUUCUCUGAUUUAAUAACAAAACUUUGUUGAAUGCGGAAAGCUCUUACAAGGAUUAAUAACCCUUGAGCUUUUGCCACCUAACACCUUAGCGAGGAUUAGUUGUCAACUGGCUGAGAGCCAAGCCUCUAGGGGUACAGUCUCAGGCCAGAAGGAGGAGGGAGGAGGCAGGAAAAUGCCAAAAGUCCUGAAGGCCAAGCUCCUCGUUCUCUACCAUGUGCAGGCACUGAGGCCCUCUCUUCAUAGAAAGUCAGAAACCUGGCUCAGAAUCCUAAAGCCUUCAUCGUAUUUUCACAGGACAGUCUGUAAACUCCAGCCAGAGACAGGACAGCUACUAGAAAACUCCCUGGGUAGUUUAAAAAAAAAAAAAGCCAUCAGAAACACUGUGAAAAGCCACCUUGUGUUUUUUAGAACAAGACGGGAGCCAGCUUCCAAAAGCCCUACAAACAUCCUAUAGACACGUUUCCAUAGAAACAGAUGAUCCCACGCCCACUCUAGUAGCCUCUGAGCCCAUUUGGCAUUCUGUCCUCAGUUCCACCCCUGGGUGCAGUGAGGAUAACCCAGGAAAAGUCUUUCCAUUUAGUCUUUGGCACCCUGCUUCUAAUAGCCUGAAUGUCCAUGUGCUGCUUCUUUUAAUGUUCCCCUCGAGGGUUGGGUAGGACAGAUGGUCACUGUCAUGUUAAAGCCAAAGACUUAUGAAGCAACUUUGUGAGCAGAGUGAGUACUUAACUCCUGCCCCAGAGACAGACCCCUGGGACUCUUGCCUGAAUGGGGAUGGGAUUCUGCUUCAUUGUAACACAGUGGGUAAUCGCAUUCACUGCCCCAUCUUCAGGGGAGUGGUUUUGAAAUUGCUCAAGCUGGCUGCCCUGAGAUAUUGCCCAAAUGUUCCCUUAGGACUGCUUUUAUCUUCAGCAAAGCUACAUAUGGCCAAAGCUCCAGAAAAAUUCACUGAAACCUAAGGACUUUGCGUGUUCAAGACCCAGACAUCAAAAGAGUGGGAGUUCUGUUGCCGGGUCCAUUCCUUCUGCUCCCAUAACUGUCACCUUAGCUGAAAUCACCAACUUACACAAUUUGGCAGAGUUCAUCUAUAACCUGGCCCUCUAUGUCCUAUAGACACUAGACAUACAUGUAAUCUGUAUAACACAUGUACAAAAUACAUUCAUUAAGCGGUUGAUUAAAACUUGUUAUCUAAAA